rnacentral:lncRNA from 1 species
GGUCAGUGCUCCAAACGUCAAAGGAAUAACUGGAAAUUUUAAGAAGUUACUAUCUCUGCUAUGGGGAUGGAUAGUCAGACAGCAAUGUUCACAAAUUACUCUUGAAACUUGAUGCAAACAACCUGUUUAAAAACUGAUGUAACGAGAGGAAUUUCAUGGAUGCAAAUGAACACCUGUGAAAAUUCUUCGGCAAGAACUGUUUCAUUUAGCAACACCAGGUUAGCAGUUUGAGAGAGGAUCUUUUUUGGGUCUACAUGCCCAAAUUUACAGACUGUUUUGCUACUUGAAUCUGCCA